GCUGUCUCAAAGAUUAAGCCAUGCACGUGUAAGUACACGCUUUAGUAUAGUGAAACUGCGAAUGGCUCAUUAAAUCAUAUGUGAUUUCUUAGAUCGUUGCGUCCUCUCGGGGAUGUCUGGAUAACUGUGGCAAUUCUAGAGCUAAUACAUGCAAUCAAGCUCCAACCUUCGUGGGACGAGCGCUCUUAUUAGACCAAGGCCAACCUGCUGGGCAACUGGCAGUUAGCUGUGGUGACUCUGGAUAAACACAGUUGAUCGCACGACUUUACGUCGGCGACGUAUCUUUCAAGCGUAUGCCCUAUCAGCUGUCGACGGUAGGGUAGCGGCCUACCGUGGCAUCAACGGGUAACGGGGGAUCAGGGUCCGAUCCCGGAGAGUAAGCCUGAGAGACGGCUUACACAUCUAAGGAAGGCAGCAGGCGCGCAAAUUACCCAAUGGGGAAACCCUGAGGUAGUGACAAGAAAUAACAAUACGCGACUCUUUCGAGGCCGCGUAAUUGGAAUGAGCACAGUCUAAAUCCUUUAGCGAGGAUCAAUUGGAGGGCAAGUCUGGUGCCAGCAGCCGCGGUAAUUCCAGCUCCAAUAGCGUAUAUUAAAGUUGCUGCAGUUAAAAAGCUCGUAGUUGACAAUCGGCGCUCGUCUCGGCGGUCCUGUUCACGCAGGCACUGCCUUGACGGCCUCUACACACUGGCUUGAGGUCGUGCAGGCUGGGAGACUGGCAGCACGUACCAGAGCCCCGGGUGCCCUUCAUUGGGUGCCCGUGGGUGGCCUUUGCGUUUACUUUGAAGAAAUUAGAGUGUUCAAAGCGGGCUCUUGAUAGCUCGGAUACUCGUACAUGGAAUAAUGGAAUAGGACCCUGGGUCAUUUCCGUUGGUCUAUGGCCAUUGGGUAAUGAUUAAAAGGGACUGCCGGGGGCAUUGGUAUGGUGGGGGGAGAGGUGAAAUU
rnacentral:rRNA from 1 species